AUUGAACGCUGGCGGCAGGCUUAACACAUGCAAGUCGAGCGCCCCGCAAGGGGAGCGGCAGACGGGUGAGUAACGCGUGGGAAUCUACCCAUCCCUACGGAACAACUCCGGGAAACUGGAGCUAAUACCGUAUACGCCCUACGGGGGAAAGAUUUAUCGGGGAUGGAUGAGCCCGCGUUGGAUUAGCUAGUUGGUGGGGUAAAGGCCUACCAAGGCGACGAUCCAUAGCUGGUCUGAGAGGAUGAUCAGCCACAUUGGGACUGAGACACGGCCCAAACUCCUACGGGAGGCAGCAGUGGGGAAUAUUGGACAAUGGGCGCAAGCCUGAUCCAGCCAUGCCGCGUGAGUGAUGAAGGCCUUAGGGUUGUAAAGCUCUUUCACCGAUGAAGAUAAUGACGGUAGUCGGAGAAGAAGCCCCGGCUAACUUCGUGCCAGCAGCCGCCGUAAAAC
rnacentral:rRNA from 1 species